AGGCUUCCCAGAGCGAGAAAACUCCCACCUGGCUUCACGGACGCCUCAAGCUGAGUUUUGAUUCUGACAUCUCUCUGCUUUCUGGAGUGCCCUGGAGAGUGGCCCAGCGAAAAUAACCAAACGAUGGACUAGAAGUUUCUGUUUCAUUCACACACAGGCACAGGGCGGAGGAGGCACUAGAGUUUUCUAAGCAGCCGAGACUCACUUGGGCUACAAUCUCUCCAUGAUCCAGCACCUCUUCAGGAGUCCUUCAGCAUGCCUGCUCCUGAACUACAUUUGGAAGAGAGGCAUGCUGGUACCCAAGUGUGUGGAUCCACUUCCAGUGGUGAUGUCAAAACUAUGUCUCUAGUACCAGCCUCCUGAGAAGUCCCACUCACAUUGCCAAGUUCCUGCUGGCAUUGCCAUGUGAGUGAAUGAAACCUCAGGAAACUUAGUGGAAGCACACUGCCGUCUUUAACCCAGAAGUCAUGGAUAUCUGUGCUCCUAAUCUUUACAAGAAAUGUCAUCAUUUGUCCAUUUGAGCGAGUCUUGAUGUGCAGUCCAGGCUGAUGUAUAACUUGGUAUAUAGAACAGACCGGCCUCAAUGUGGUGGCAAUCUUUCUACCUUACCUCCUGAAUGCUGGGGACAGUGUGAGCUCCACACCAGCCUGCUUCCCUCUGUUGUUUGCCUCUGGUGUGCGUCAUCUUGACGAAGUCUGACUAUCAGUGUAUCUCCUUUAUCAGUUUCCAAGGAUCUUGUCAUCAAGAAUGGGGUGUUUUUCUGCUUAUUCACAUCCUCAGUCCAGGCCUUGACCUGAGCUUGGUAUCUGUUUGAAACAUGGCAAACUCUGGCAAAUUAAAACUUUGGUACCCUGUAAGCAAACACAGAGAGGGCAUGUUCUCUUCCCCCCUUUGGAUUUUUCAAUACACUCAAUUUCAUGAACCUC
ensembl:lincRNA 1700049E15Rik RIKEN cDNA 1700049E15 gene